rnacentral:rRNA from 1 species
GGGUGCCUACGGGGGGCAGCAGUAGGGAAUCUUCCACAAUGGACGAAAGUCUGAUGGAGCAACGCCGCGUGAGUGAAGAAGGGUUUCGGCUCGUAAAGCUCUGUUGGUAGUGAAGAAAGAUAGAGGUAGUAACUGGCCUUUAUUUGACGGUAAUUACCUAGAAAGUCACGGCUAACUACGUGCCAGCAGCCGCGGUAAUACGUAGGUGGCAAGCGUUGUCCGGGUUUAUUGGGCGUAAAGCGAGUGCAGGGGGGUCCAAAA